CCUACGGGUGGCAGCAGUGGGGAAUCUUCCGCAAUGGACGAAAGUCUGACGGAGCAACGCCGCGUGAGUGAUGACGGCCUUCGGGUUGUAAAGCUCUGUUAAUCGGGACGAAAGGCCUUCUUGCGAAUAGUUAGAAGGAUUGACGGUACCGGAAUAGAAAGCCACGGCUAACUACGUGCCAGCAGCCGCGGUAAUACGUAGGUGGCAAGCGUUGUCCGGAAUUAUUGGGCGUAAAGCGCGCGCAGGCGGAUAGGUCAGUCUGUCUUAAAAGUUCGGGGCUUAACCCCGUGAUGGGAUGGAAACUGCCAAUCUAGAGUAUCGGAGAGGAAAGUGGAAUUCCUAGUGUAGCGGUGAAAUGCGUAGAUAUUAGGAAGAACACCAGUGGCGAAGGCGACUUUCUGGACGAAAACUGACGCUGAGGCGCGAAAGCCAGGGGAGCGAACGGGAUUAGAUACCCCAGUAGUC
rnacentral:rRNA from 1 species